AGGGAGAGGGAGAAAUGUCACCCGGAGUCCCGGCCCGUGGGGGAGAGGUGGCGCGUUAGAGAUGUGUGUGGGAGAGAAAGGGGGAGCGAGACCGCCGCCGGCCCCACGGACUUGUCAAGUUGAAAACAGCAAGCUUUUGGGCUCAAAAAGCUUAGACGAUCAUGGCUACGAAAACUACAGCUACUCAGAAAGAAUGUAAUUCUGGAGGCUCCUUAGUGAAAAAGUAGUGCAAGCCAACAUCAGAACAGUUGCCAAGUGCAUCUUCUCCACAGCACCCAUGAACUUCAGCCUUGAACUGAAGAGGACUCAUCAAAUGUCUUAGGAGAGACAGCAUGGAACUGGAAGAGAAGCGGGCAUCUCCAUGAAGGGCAGUCAACUGCAGUCUUGGUGUGUGGAGGAACAGGUCCUGUUCUCACUGUUGUUACUCCCACAUAGGCGGACUCUGUAAUUGAUUAUGUGUGGGUAGGGCCCUACUGAAAUUAAGGAGAUUCUGCAAUAGUGCAGGGUUCUUUUUGUGAAAGUUCAGUUGCAAGAUCAGGACCCUACUGUGACUCCUUACUGUGAAUUCUGUCAGUGUAUCAUUGAUUGUGCUGGAACCUGCCUUUUGGGAUAAUUACCAAAUACUAUAUUCCUCAAAACUUCUUAAUGGCACUGAGGCUUUGUGGAUAGUUGGUCACAUGAUGAGAAAAUUCAGCUAUCCUGCAAUUCACAUGGCUGGCAGAUAUAGAAGUAAUUUCACAAAUGAAAAUGGAAGAUGGAAAAUCCAUGAAGAUUGUGUUGAAGAGUAACACUGACUAAAAGGAAAUCUGAGACCACUGUCUACAAAUCAGAUAAUUUAUUUGAAAAGGUAGCUGAAGAGACAGCAAACAAAAAUGAUCAUCAAUAAGGAUAAAGCAUUUUACCUGUCCAUGCAAGCAGUACAAUUAGUCUGCUUACACUACCUGACCCUCCGGAUAGGAAGCUGGUUCCAGCAUUGUCAAUACCCUUUUUCCUUGGCUCCUAAUUCUCUCUAGUACGUGCUUUUCAGAUUCUGCUUGCAGAAAGACCAGCAGGGUUUUAAGAGCACAAUAUGCAUGACUGCAUCUUUUCCUCUAAUGCAUCUUCCCUAACAGUGGAAAAGAAUGGCGCUCUCAGAAUGUGCUCAUCUAAGCUUCCAGUUCCCCAGGAUCUUGGAAGGACUUCUGUGCAAUAGCAGCUUCAGCAUCUGCUGCAGAUAGCAGGCAAACUGGCGGAUGAUUGGCAGGGCUAAGAAGAAAUAGAUUUCCAGCACAGGGGCAAUGGACUCUUCUUCAGAGACUUUAAUUACAGCACCCCUCUAACACUUCUUCAAAACAGCAAUAAGUGUUUUAAAAUCACACAGGGAAAAGAUGGACAGAGAUCAACUUUUCACCGUCUCUAUCAAUAAAAAAAUGAGGUUGCAUCAGAUGAAGCUGGCCGUAGGCAGAUACAAAGCAAAUAAUACUCUGAAUUGUAUUGCUUUAUGUGUUCAUGGGUAAUACACUCAUGACAUUCGUUGCCUAAAGACCGUAUGGAUGAAAGAAGUUCACGUGGAUCUAUGGAGAGACUGCACAAGACCUUGGAAGAGAGAUCUAGUAAAGGUCGCUGACUAGACGAACCACAUCAGGCUCAGGAAACCCCCUGAACUAAAACAAAGUUGGAUGCUGGAACCCAUGGGCAUUCUCAAAUGUGCUUGUCCUAGUCCUGCUGUUCUCUGAGAGAGUAUUUGGACAAGAAUUGGCUUAUGCCUGCUGUUGGUGAUGGGUGAAUGGCCCAAGUGUGUGCCUGGCCUGAACCACUCUGACCUUUCUCGUAUUCUUAAAAUAGGCUUUAUUUAUGAAUAUUGGCCUGCUCACAGUCUUAGCAAAAAUGAAACAGGACCUUCCCCUCUUUAAUUCAACUAACUAGAGCCAACCUUAGUCAGUCAUUCUCGUUCCUUUUACUGCACUGUCAGCUUUGCUAACUACAUAGUCUGUGGUAUUUCAAAGAUUUUACGGCAUACGUUAAUAAAAUGCCUCUACCUCACCUCUUUUUCCUCAUUUAAUCAUGCCCUUACCUAAACCGAAAUUUAUCCAUCUGUACCUCUUUAGAAACUUGUUGCUACAAUUGUAAUUUUGAAUAGUGACUUUUCUGGUUCCUUAUGCUGGCCUUCAGAUUCUCUCUACUACAGACAGGAAACCUGUAAGCCUGCCAAAAGAAAAAAGAGCAAGAAAAUGAAUAGAAAAUCCAUGGGACAGUGUUGUUUCCAUCACAGUAAUUUGGGAGGAGGAAUUUCAUUCUGAACCUUGCUAAGUGAAUAAAUCAAAUCCACAGAUCUGUAAUGCCCAAUCUGUAAGUCGUGUUCCAAAAAUCAGCAAGUCAGGAUCACAACCUUUGGACAUUCUCAGAAAUAACUUUCCUUCUUUUCCUUUCAACUUGAUGAGUUGUCCUGAGAGUAGGUUUAUCCUCCUAAGUCACUUAGCAAGGACAUGGAAAUUCAAUGGGAAGUCUCUAUAUUUAGCAGAGAUUAAGGUGGUCAAUGCUUAUAUUCAGUUCCUUGGUUAAGCAAAAAGUCCUUCCAAUUUUCAGUAGAUAGGCAUAGGUGAACACAGCUAGGGCUCAAGGAGGAGUGGAAUAGGAAGGGACAGAGUAACAGGGGGGGAUCUAGAAGUCUUCAUAGCAUCCUUUCACCCUCUGCCUCCUGCUGCUGGUAAAUCUGCACCUGAACAGCCAGUGCUUUAAAAAAAAAAAAAAAAAAAGCCUCUUCUGUUUGGCUUCUUACUUUUAACACCUCAGGUGUUGAGCAAAUGAAGGCAAACCUCUGUGCCAGGGCUCUGUCUCUUUAACUUUGUAUGUACACCAGCAGGCACAGUAGGAACCCAUUCUGUUUUGAACAUACUAUAGCAUAAAUAGCCGAUAAAUCAGAAAGGAAGGAAUCCACAUUUUCUGUUACUUGUGUGGCCUCCUGGAAUGAUUAAUAUAUGUUUAAAUGAGUUCUACAUGUAUGCUUUUUUUAAAUUAAAUGCUUCUUUUUUAACAAGACCACUUAAAAUUAAGUAUGGAAGUAGGGCAGCCGGUAUUAAGGUUAAAUUUACCAUAGUAUUUUAGAAAAACACAAUAAAAAUACUAUGCACCACAUUUUUUGAUGCCAAAGUUUUAGAGAAAAUCAAACCACUGAAGGGGUGGAAGUCACUGGCAGAGCAGUUGGAACUGCAACCUACGGAAUGCUGAACCUGCUUCUGAUAGCUUUUUUUUUUCCCUUUCCUCUUUUAAUGUACUCGGCUAUUUUAUAUUAAUGACUAGUAUGUUCAAAAUUGAAAAAUCCACUGGGGAGAUGAAAAAGCAGGCAAUUACAUUUUUUCUCAUCAGGUCCAUGAACAAAAACUGUAAGAGGGUGAGAUGUACUAGUUCUAAAGUCUUGAUGGUUGUGCUGACCAGAAACAAUCACUUGAGUUCACCAACUAGUAAUGAUUAUUCUUUGUUGAAUAAAUCAGACUUCAGUGCAGUACAUUCUGAUUUUUUUUCUUGCAUGUUAUGUACAUCUAUGGUUAUUAAGUUGAACUGAUAAAAAAUGAAAUGUUCUUUUGCUACAGUUUAAUUAAAUUCCAUUUUCCAUCAACACACAAUUUACAAACUAUAGUUGGAAGACUGAAUCACGUGGCAAAGAAAAGCCAUUAAAUUUUCUACCGUAAAAUGUAAAAAUUAAGAAUCAGAAGCUAGUUAUACAGAGAAAUUAAAUAAAAAUUGUACAGGCAUGAAAUAACAAUCUGGAUAGCAAAAAAAUCAUACUUUGUAAAGAGGGUAUAUUUAGUUGAAUGAGGGCCCUUAAAAUGAAAAAUAAAAUAAAGUCAGAUAUAAACCCAGACCAAAACAGACUGCGUAAGACAAAGUCUUUCUGUUUUAAAAGGUAGCUAGAAUUGAUGAUUCAACUCAGAGACACAAACCAAUCCACCCCGGCUGCUGAUAACAUGCACUUGUAUUUCUGGGUCCUAAACAAACACAAUAUGGGCCUUGCAAGUGCUUUAGAAAACCCUGGUUAACAAUCAGUUGUCCAGGAGUCCUCUCUGACCCACACAGGCCCUCCUUCGUCUUGGAACAAAACCCCAGCAGCUGUGGCUUAGACGAGCCAUCACGGUGCAGUAAGUGCACCCCUCGCCACUGCCUCUGCCGCCCCCCGCUCUCCCACCACCUGGAGCCCGAGAAACCCGGGCCUGCGCCUCACGUUCAGAACAAAUUGAAGAAAGAUGGGCAGCUGAGUUACCGAGAGCCGCCUCAGAGUAAGGCAGGAGGAGAUGACCUAGGGUUAGAUGACCCUGACUAUCAAGUGUGUUGCCUUGACAAAUAGUAAUUGCUCGACAAUUGCUCUAGGCUUGGAAAACAUAUGUUAUCAUGUUCAUGCUGUAUCCACUGAUAGAGAUUGUUUUCAUUACAUGUACUGGAUAUUUCUAACUGCACUGAACCUACUGAUGUGUGAAAACAUAGAUAAGAUUGAACCAGAGGUCUCAAACUUGAAAGUCUAAAACUUGAAAAUCUCUCCUUUGUUCAGGUUAUUCCUUUUGGCUAGCAGUUUUCUGUCUUUAGUUUAAGAAUCAGUCUAUGUCCAGCAUCUACAGUGGUCUUUGAAAUGCCUUUUUUUUUUUUUGAAUGGUGUCUUUGUUAGAGCUGGAGAAGUUUCAAUGAAAUAAUAUCUCAGUUUUGUGCUUGGUGCAUGCUAUUGUAUUAAUUAUCUCCUUGUAUAGGUUUCACCAUCAAGGCUGUUGGACACAUUAAAGAAUACUUCACACACAGCUCGGUAUUUAAGGCAUAUGCAGCUCAGCAUUGAUUACAUAUUCUAUACACUGUAAGAACUUAAAUUUUUUGGUCUGUUCUGUAACAGAACUUCCUUUUCAAAUACUGUCUACAGUAACUGUUUCCUCCCCUUUCAGCAAAAGUUUUAGUGAUAAUAUAAAUGUGAGCCUCUUUCAGUUGAAAAAGAUCAUCUUUGAAAUGAAGUAUUCCUUUUGCUGAAAAGCCAUCAAGUCUCUCCCUGAAAGAAUGUUGGGUGUUUAUGUUUUUUCUUGUACCUUAACACAUGUGCACUUAAGCAUCAAGAAGCUUCUCAGUGCAAGAAAAGCUGUAGAGAGACCUAAAAGAUCAUAGGAAAAAAAAUUGGGGGGUAUAGAUUACUAAAAUAAUUUAAAAAGAAGGAAUGGGAGGCAGCAUACAAUGUAUUGCACUCAUAGGGGCUCAAGUGGUUCAAGAGGUGUAUGCUUGCUGUAUUAAAGAAAAGGCAGCAGGAGUCUGUCAGGGGUCAGUACAUGAUCAGUCAUGACCUCAGGGGCACAGAGAGGUAGAAUCCUUGUGGCAUGAUUUGCAAGAGAAUAUGUGGGCUUUGAUUCAUUCAUUUACACAGCAUCAGAAGGUAAACGGGAUACUGCUUUCUUAUUUGAUGAAGGCUUCAGUCAUCCAGCUCAGCAUCUUCCAUUAAACUUCUUCUCUUUCUCUCUGUUUUCAUGUGCCUCUUGCGUAUUUCCAGCAGGCUGUCCCUCCAGAAUGAUGAAUCUUACACAUGAGAAAAGGACACUUUUGCUGCUACUUGUAAAUUUGUUGUUGUAUGACACAACCUGCCAUUAUUUUAAUUGUUGCUUUCAAAUGAAGUGUCUGCCAGCCUGUAUGAUGAAAUCAUGUGUUACUAACAACUACAACAGUAAUACCUAGUUCUAAUAUAUAGCUUUUUAUCUAUAGAUCUUGACCUUUUUUUAAGCCAGGAAUGAGAUAUUGUUCCUUUUAAAACUCACAGAGCUCAGGCAGAAGUGGCUGAGGCAAGAUUCAACAGCAUUUAUAUCUGCUCAUUGCUGGGCCGAUGGGCUGAUGGUAUGCGAACGAGACAGCUCUUCUAGGCUCUGAGUGCCGCUGACACGUAGCCCAGCAUCUAUGCAGUGCUUUGUGCAGGCUCUCCCACUGCACCCAAAACUUCCCCUAUUCCAACAGGAGGAGGCUUAUGGCUUCCUUCCACAACUCCUGCAGAAGGAUCCUUCCCUGGGUGAGAUGAGGCUUUUAGUGCUCUGUCCCGGCCAGGUCUUCAUAUCCAAUGUGAAGAGUGUGGAAGACUGGUGCAGAUUUCAGUCACUGUAAUUUUUGGUUCUUUUAUGUAGAGAUACGAUACAGUAUCAGAACUCCUUUAAGGGAGAUCUUCCUCGCUGGAUUAGCUUUUUGACAUGUGUUACACCCUGCUAACUAGGCACCUUGCCUCCAGAACUAUGAGUUUUAUAUUUUGAAAGACAAAUACACAGGUAAACAAAAUGUCACUAAACACUUAUUUCAUUUUAGACUUUUUAUAACCUUAGUAUAUGUAGCCUUGGGACAUCCUGUAAGCAUUAUUUUGUCUCUUGGGUUCAGUGAGAUGUAGGAUAGUUUUAGUUGUCCCUAUCUAAGAAUCAAGAAGCCGUUGGUGGAAUUCUGAGUCAGGGACAGGAUUAAGGCCCUCAUUUGGACUCCCAUUCCAAAUGUUGGCCAAAACACCAUCCAUCUUCCACCUUGAUACAGAUUUAACAUCAGCUGUAUGACUUAGCCUGAAAGGUCUGUAGGAACAGUAACUAGCAAUUGGCACUCAGAUGGUGGGACAAAAGAGAGAGCAAUUAUUCUUUAAUGUCUUCAUCAAUCCAGUUUAUUUAAGCACGUUCAGGAAAUUAUGCUAAGAUGCUUAAUUUCUUUUUUCAUUUAUUUACAGGCCUACUUUAUCUGUAGUGCUGAGCUGUUGUCAUAAUUUGGUUUUUAUGACUUGCAUCAAGCAUGAAGCUUUCAAAACCACGUGUCAAAGUGUGAUUAUGGAUUUAUUGACUUUGCAGUGGGUGUCCUUUCUGUUCCCUGGGUGGAAGGCUUGUCAUGUGGACCAAGAGCUGCUGAAGAACUGGGUGGUGAUCUGUUGACAUGCUUGUGGGGUGAAAAGCAGAGGUGGGAGAACUGAAGAAACAGAGUUAUGAAGUUGUCUGCUCAAAGCCAUAAAGGAGGCCACUGACAAAUCCAGGAACAGAAGCCAAGUCUCCUAGAUUGCAGCCUAAAUGCCAUCUAAUACUGUAAUCAACAGGAAAGUUUGCCUUCCAAUGUUACAACGAGUCUUUAUCAAUCUUUGUCAGGAUGAACCCCCAAGGCAUGACUGUGAUGGCUGUUUGAAACAAGAAACAGAUACCCUCUUGGUGUUAUUCUUUUCACUAAUCACUGGGAAUCUGAGCCUGAAUGAAGAUGGAGGAAGACUCCUACAGAGAACCGGGAACGGUUUGUCCCUUAAGAAGGGUAUAAUGGCAUUUUUAAUGUUUUUACCAAAUACCAGGGUAUGUGAUAAAAGUUUAUGGAUUGGGAAUUAAUUGAAAGAUUGUGAAAUGGGAAAGAAUGCACAUUAUGGGAAGCCUUGGAGAACUACAACCUAAGCACCCUGAAAUUUGCGACCAAGGCCACAGAAUGUCUCUGGAGUUAUUGGAACCAUCUCAGAUGACUGUUAUUUCUGAUAUAAUUUACCAGUCCCAGUAAGCUCCCCCAGCCAGACUGGGAAAAGACAUUCCUUUUAUUAAUGUUAGUCCAGGGGACUAAAGUGUAUUCUGGGAAAUGAAACAUAUAGUUUAAGGAAUUAGCUACAGAAUUCAGUUUUGUAAAAAAAGAGACAGUGUGCAUUUGUACCUGGGAGGUGGUAUAGGUUUUGAAAAAUGCUGUUCAAAAGAAAACGUGCUUAUAUCUAAACUCUGUUAUCUGCAACAUAAAGGUUUACAGUUUUAAAUGUAUUAAAUAACGUAUCUGUAUGAUGAAAUGUGAAAUGUAUAAUUAAACUAAUGACUAUAAGUAUAGAACUAGUAAAUGUUAUCUAAAUCGUAUCUGCAAAUAUUAAACUGUUUCAUUUCUAGAGGUUACAGAAAACACUUUAAAAUUUUAUACAGUCUUUCCACCCCCUCUAGUUUUUAAUGUAAUUACAGUUUUAAAGCUAAUCUAUUAGUUUUUUUAAUAUUUGCAGUUGUGUUAAAUUUUACUGAGGAACAAUUUAGUUUGGAGAAACCGUUACACUUUAUCCCAACUGUGGUUCGUGUUGUUUGAACAAGAAGUCCCUGAGUGUUUGUCCCAAAUACCAAUAUUUUCACUCCACUGGCAGCUGUAUAUUUGUGGUCACCCUACAGCAAUGUAUGCAAAGAAUGUAUACAGUGGCAGUGCCUCUUCCAGAAAGUACCAGAAGGAAAACUGGAUGUGGUCAACCCACACAUAAUUUGCUCUUCUUGGUGGAGGUCUCGCAUAGACAACACUUAAAUGGCACUUUUUGUUUCUGGAUAGGAUGAAGGUAAGAGAUGGAAACCAUUCAAAAGCCAUUGCUUACAUUCCCUGAAAUGGGCUAAAAAGAACAGCUCUUCUGAGACACAGUUUUACACUGAACAUACGCAGAGCUGCGUUAUUAUUAAUUCUGAAAACGUGUUUACAAUAGUUAGGUAAAAUAUUUAGUUACUAUUUAAAUAUUUUGAUGUAUUAUAGUUCGUACACAAAUUUUAGCUGUCUACUGCACUUAACAUUUCCAAUUUAAAUAACUGGUUUCAUUAAGAAUUCUGUGAUACAAAUUAAUAACAAAAGGCAGUUAAUACAGAGUGCAGUUAUGAGAUCAAAAUACAUGUGGUUUAAAUUUAAAGAAUUAAAUGUUAGCAUUUCCCUAUAGAGAAAGGUUAUUUGGGCAGUGGUGUACUGACAUUAUCACCACCCACGGAGAAGGGGACCUGUUGAUCCUAUCGGUUAAGCAGAAAUUCAAAAAAGGAAGAAUGUAGGUCUAGCGGGUUUGCUUGGUGUGAGUGAUUCACACAGGAAAAAUGCUGAUACCUGGAGUCAUCGUAGUGACCUUCUCUAAUGAUUAAAAAGAGAAAUAAGCACGCAGUAUUUUUGUCAAGCUGGAGGGUUUAGGUUGCUUGCUACGUAAAGGUGGUCUUGGUUAUUAAUAUAAUAAGUGGAAAGUUAAAUGAUGACCAUGGAAAUACGAUAACAAGUGCUAUUGCAAAUGAGACAAAAAAAGAUUUUCUGUGGGCAUUAAAACUGAUCGUCCAAUGUGUUAACCAUGGGGCUGAAGGACUGCUAAGAAAAUGAUGUGCAAAGUGGAUGAAAUAAAGGAUAAAAGUGUGUUUAAGUAGGUAUUUCUUCAAAGCUUCCUUCAGGGAGGUGUUUCUAGGCACUACCAUACUGCUUCUGACAAAUCAUGUCUGUUAAGCUGAAGGUAAGCAAACAGCAUUCAUUUAGCAGUAUACAGUGCUAUCUAUAUCUCUGAAUUUCUGUUUGGGCAAACCUUUAUAAUAACUUUAUUUGACCUAGAAACAAAUCUAUUAAAACCAUCCAUUACUAAUUUGUCACUAUUUAAUGUUAGUUUAAUAUGACAACUCUGGGAUGGCUUUGCCUGUUACUCCUGGAAGAAACUACAUAAAAUUGGGUGGGUUCGAGUAGUUUCACGCAGACCUGGGACUGCACAGAAAAGCCAGUUCUCAACAUCACUGCACAUAGGGAAAGCUUGUCUCUGACCCUCAGUCGAACAGCUUGAACACAUGCUGAGUGAACCCCCAGGCUACCAAUACUCUGCACUUUGGCUUUUGAAACUUUCUGGGUAAGAUACAGUUUCAACAUGAAAAGUCAAAAUACAGUGGUUUACAAUCAGUUUUGCUUUGUUUGAAGCUAAAACUCAAAGCAAAACUCCUGAGGUAUAGAGCUGUAUGAAGCAAAACAUAAGAAAAUUAACAGAAAACCUCUGCAAACUGAACAAUCUAGUUUCACCCAGCUCUUGAAAUAACCCCUUUUUGCUAGUUCACUUUUCAAUUGCAUGUGUGGGAUGUCAAAAAUUAGUUGUUUUCACUACCCUGUGGCACAGGUGAUAAACGCCGCAGCUCCAAAGCAUAACCCUCUGUCCGAGCAAGGUCUCACUCUCACUCUCUGUCUCAGCUGAUACUUUCGACAUCUGCCAAAAGAUGAUAUUUUCUCAGUCCCUGGCUAGUUACGUUUAGCUCUUGAUUGUCUGUAAAAAAAGCCUGUAUGUUUUUUUGUAGUUGCAUCCAGCUCUGAACUAAUUUCCUAGAUCUAUAACAAUGCUCUAAAUAGUACCCAGUCCCAAAGUAGCAGCAGUAACUUCACCUCUGGGGGAUCGCCCGAGGAUUUAUGGCAUUGUAAGUUCAAAGCCUGAUAUUUCAGAGAUGCUGAACACCUGUUUCUCUUCCUAGCUGGUAUGGGAGCUGCAGGUGCUCAUGCUCUUGUGAAGAUCAGACCUCUUCUGCAUCAGUAUGUUUAUUUACAUUUAUUUGCAGUGAAACAACAAAGAAUCCUCUGCUCUCCUUUCACUUUUUGUAAAAUUGUAGUGCAACUGGCUUGAAACAAACCUAUGAACGGCACCAAGCCAGAAGGUACUUCUAGGAGAGCAUUGCUGAGCGUGUGUGAGUUCAGACUCUCAGGGCUCCUUUGCUGGCUGGGCAGCUGAUCCAUUUUCUUUCCCCCUAAAAUAUUGAGGGAGUGAACUCCUGAGCCUCCAAAAUUAUCACUGACGGAGAAGCAAUGCCUCAGCAGCAGUGGGACUAAGUGAGUCAGCUUCUGGAUGUAGAUCUCAGACUUUGACAUCUUUGUUGAGAAGAACUAGAGUGAUGUUCAGGAAAAAAAAUAAAAAUUAUUGUCAGAUAAUCAGUGAUCUUGUGUACCUAUAUUUUGCUUAUUCGUAUGUCAGGUUUUUGUGGUGAACCAGUCAGUACCUAGGAAUGUGCAGAGUGCAAGCAGAAUGACCAGAUUUGAAGGUUGAAGGUAUCUUGAAGCACAGCUCACAGGCUGGGUUACAUGAGGAUUAUUGUGCAUGGAUUUUACAAUAUAAUGGCUCACCUCUGCACAAGAGUGAAUUUUAUAUGGUGUGAGCAUAUGUCACCGAAAAAACCCAACAUUGGGUUGUUGGUGGAAUGCAAAUAUUAUGUGACUCUUAGUCUCACUUGGUAUUUUAAACCAUGAGAGUUUCAGAUUUGAGUCACAGUAACUUGUAACUAGGAUAUGUAUAUACGCAUAUAUAGCACACAGGCUGUAAGCAAG